rnacentral:rRNA from 1 species
AACGUAGGUGGCAAGCGUUAUCCGGAUUCACUGGGCGUAAAGCGCACGCAGGCGGCAUAGUGGGUAGGGCAUGAAAUCUCCUGGCUUAACUGGGAGGGGUUGUCCUAUACCGCUAGGCUUGAGGAUGGGAGAGGGAAGUGGAAUUGCCGGUGUAGUGGUGAAAUGCGUAGAGAUCGGCAGGAACACCAGUGGCGAAGGCGGCUUCCUGGCCCAUUCCUGACGCUCAAGUGCGAAAGCUAGGGGAG